UAUUGUUGUUGUAUUGCUUACUUUUCCUUGAUUACAAUGCAUCCUUAUAUAGUAUAAGGAUGGAUAAAAAGUCUUACAAAAUCUUCUUAAAAUCAAAAUACACACUCUUAUAUUCAAUUCAAAGAUCUAAUCUUUGAAUUGAUUUUAAUACUUUUGACUAUUGAUUCUUAUUUUCAACACCUACAGCCACCCUACCUCUGUACCAUCUCCGUAGAGUGCUCCAGUGUUCAGCCAACAACCAUUCCCUCUUAGUCUUAAACCUCCAGCCAGCAAUCUCACUUCAUUCUCUCCCAUUCCACACUAAGGACUUUUGAGAGAGAAACGGGAGAAUCCAUUGCUGCUGCAAGACUUCAAAUGAGUUUGUCUCCACGAGAAUCAAUAGCAACACAGCAGCCACCCAACAGUUUGAACAUAUCCAAGGUCAAGCACGAGAUUAAUAAUCAAUCAAGGAGCUACUGUACCGCAAGAGUUGCUGUCAGGUUGAGCAGUGGCUGAUGAAGAUGAAGUGAAGAGCGGAGCUUUUGUCAAAAGUUAAAUGAAUGAACUCUUGGAUACAUGUCUUCAUACAUGUAAUCAGAUUAUGUUAUUCCGCUGCGUAUUCUUAAGUAAUAAGUCUUUUGAAUUAAGUCGGAUUUAUCCGAACUUACUAGUUAAUUGAAUCUUUGUGGCUAAACAUAAGUUAUAUUAUAAAUGUCCCCUUCGCUGUCAAAGAUUAAGUUCGAUCCUUCAUUAUAUAUUUACC